CUUCUAUCUAGCCAUUUUACAGUACAGUUAGCCAGUUAUUUUAUUUUUAUUUAAAGACAGGUGCCCUUGAAGGCACAGAUUAGGAUAUUUUCAGUGACAUUUUAUUUAGAAUUACUGUGAGUUAACUGGUAUACUGCAAAUUGGGGACUUUUUCUGGUUUUCAGUGGGGCAUUAACCUGCUAGCUGCUUUUAUUUAUUGAUUUUAUAAUUUUUCUAUUUUGUUUAUUACAGCACGCAAUAUUAGUUUCGCAUUCUCUCAGGCAGCUAUUCUUAUGGUGCUGCUCACCUUAUGUCUACCUCAGCGUUUUAAUAGAUUUUGUUACGUUAUUUCGAUACAUGACUUCCUGCCACUCAGGUAGUUAAUUGGCAAUCUAUUUUCGCUACUCUAUGUAUAUACAUCUUGAUCGUGCUAAGUAGCCAUUUACUGCAACUAUAUUGCGUGCAUUGUGCAGUGACUAAUUACAUUUCUUUGGGGGGGGGGGCUUAUCUACUUAACCCCCCUUCUGGGUUUUUGCCCGUUUUCGUUUAUAUCUAUUUCACUCCCCUCCCCGUUUGUAUUUAUUCCUCACUUAAUAUAUUUAACUUAGUCACACCUUCUGCCUCAAUUAUCCACUAUUGAGACAGUAGUGACUAGUGAUUUAGUAUUUGUUUGCGUGUGUUUCUAGUUCUAUUAAUAAAGUAUUUCAUUGAUCCUUU